GCCCCUGUAGCUCAACUGGUAGAGUAACUCCCCUGUAAGGAGCUGGUUCCGGGUUCGAAUCCUGGCGGCGGCU
rnacentral:tRNA from 1 species